rnacentral:lncRNA from 1 species
UACCUUUGAUCCAUAUUGAAUUGAAUCUUGUGUGUUUGCUACUGACUUAUAAAGUUAUUUUACCUUUAAGGUAUAACUUCUAUGAUUCUAUGGCUUGCAUUCAAUUACAAGUCCACUUUAGUGACUUUUGGGAAGCAACAUUUCUCCUCCUCCCACUUUGUUUUCUUUCCUCUUUGAUGGUGUUACCUUUAGGGUUGAGGAUCUAUAUAUGAAUUGAUAUUUGAAGUAUGUUUUCAUGUGUAUGUGAAUAAUGCAUUACUUUC